GUCUAUUUAAAUGAUAUUGACAAAAUAUUAAAGGGUGAAGAUUUGGCGAGCAUUGUAAAUUGAAUUUGUAACUCAUUAAAAUAACAUUUUAGUUUUUUAUUUAUAUUAAUUCCUUAUUUUGUUUUUUUGUUUUCAACAUAGGUAAUAGACGCAUAUGCAGAACACUUGCUUGCACAUAAACAAGGAACAACAUCAUUCAUAUUCAUUUCAAGUUGCCAUUUAGCACUUGUUGACAACAAAAGAUGAGAAAGCAACAAAGAGAAUGCUGAACAAGUUGAUGCCUGAAACCAUGAAAGGAAGAUACAUUCUCUUCCCAAUCCACCAAAAUUUUCAUUGAACAAUACUUGUCCUUGAUAUUGAAGAAGGUUCAUGGAAAUUCUACAAUUCCAUGAGACCAAGGGGUGCAAUGCGUAAAGAUCCAUACUUCAAUGCCGCAAAUGAAAUGAGAAAGAUUAUUGGCAAGUACAUAAAGGAAGAGAAGCCAACUCUCAUCGCCCCUGAUAAAUUUCAAUAGGAGACAGAGAGAGUCAUCAACAGCCCACAAUAAGAAGAAAAUUCGCUUGAUUGUGGAAUCAUUGUUUACUAUAUCAUGAGGCAAUAUGUUUCCAGUAACAACAUAAUGCCUACUUUUUUCAAGGAAGAACGCAAUCAAUUGAGAGCCAAUAUAUUAACUAUCUUCUUGACUGACCAACAAACUGCUCAACAAUAAAUAGUUGAUAAAAACAUUAAUGACUUGCCUUCACAAUAAUCAACAAAUUUGGAAGAAAAGAAAACAUUUUGCUUGUUUGUUUGUUACACUAAUCAACAGAUCUGAAAGAAAAGAAAAGAAAACAUUUUGCUUGUUUGUUUGUUAUAGUGUAACAAAAAGGAAACAUUGAUUCAUUUAGUUGUUAGAAUGUGAAUGCUUCAUACAUUUGGCUUGUUUGGUUG